CCAUCUUCUGGAGUCCGGGCAGCUCCGCGUUCCCGCUCUCGGAGGACCGCGUCGCUUAAGGUGCCGAAGGGAGGGUCGGGUUGGAGGGGAGCGCAGAGUUUGAGGGUUAGGUGGAUCCCCGCGAGGAGCCGGGAUAUGUCGAAGCACCCAUUACUCUUUGCUAUACCUUGUGACAGUGACAGAAAAAUGACUUAUCCUGCAACUGAAAGGAGAGAAAAGUGUUAAGGCAUUAAUUGAGAAGGAAUGGGGUACCAACACUUGAAAUAGGGACACCUGCUUGGGUCCAGAUGAAAGUGACAAUCUUGAAUACCCAAGCCACCCUGAGCCUCCCUUGGCAGUGGGAGUAGCUUGUCCUCCUGUGUCUGAGGAGACUAGCUGAACUUUGCUUGAAACUCCUGUGAAACCCUCACCUGCAGCAGAUGAUUUGAAGAACGCAGCACAGGUCUGCGCUUCCUUCCUAACAGCUGCUGCUUUCUCCAGGUGAUCACUUUUCCACUCAACAGUUAUUUCAUCCCCUGGAUGGCAAACAGGUCAAUAUGUUAGGUGUUAAUGGCUCUUAGAACUCAUUCUGGGUGAGUCACACACUGCGGCCUAUUUUCAGUUGCCGAUUUUCACUCUGGACUCUUGCCCAACAUUCCGUUUCAAUCAUGUGCCACUUGGGGAGCGCCUGCUGCUGAAUUCCUAAGACAAUCCAAUCCAAGGAAAAUAAUGGCACGUCAUGCUAAUAGCUCCCAGCGAAGGUGUUGCAGAGAGAAAUUCCCAGCGUAUGUCUCACUGCCCAAGGCUUAGCAGUUCCCAGCUUGAGGAAGGAGGGUGGGACAGGAACCUGCCAACUCGACAGUGUGUUCAUGUGGAGGCUUUCAAGCCUUGCCAACUUGAAACAACACUGAUGAAGAGAGGAUGCUUCCCCAGACUCCAGACAGGAACGCCUCCUGUUCAGGGCCCAGCAUGACUGCAGAUGCUGCCAGAGAUAAAACCUUCCAGGAACCACAGUGUAAACCAUGCAAAGUACAAUCAAAACAGGGCUAUUCCUGAAAUGAUAUACGGAGCCAUCUUUUGGGACCUCAUACCUGGAUUUUCUUUCAAUGACUUCAAAAGUGAAGGCUUGGUAGCAAAAUAGUACAGUAUGGAAUAUGGAAAUUCUUUGUACUAUCUGUUCACUUUUCCUGUAAGCCUAAAAUGAAAAUUAAAUGUACAGUCUAUUAAUUAAAAAAA